UGUGCUCAUUCUGCACUUCGAAUGAGGUGACGAAAGUCGAGUCGAAUGCGUCACCCGAUUCCCGUAGUCGAAUGCGGUGAGAAGAGUCGAUGUGAGUGAACACCGAUGAACUCUCACCGCAUUCUCGUAGUCGAUUUUGAUCGACAAACGUCGCUUUCAAGUGACGUUUGCGGGUGAGAAGAGUCGCAACCUCAACAGGUGUCGAGAGCGCACUCGAAUCAAGUUAAGCCUAGAGUUAAACGCAAAUUAAUGGAAUGGUCGAUGGAACGGUACAUCGUCCAACCGACUGUCGGCGGGCGCAUCCAGUAGGUUCCAGUUAAACUCCAUGCAGCCCCUGCUCAUCCCAACACCGCGAAAAAAAAUUUCGUUAACGUUGAUUAUUCUACGCCCAGUUCACAGCGGAAAUUCGAAAGAAACUUCAGGAAUCGCCGUAGGUUCUAGAGCGAUCGCUCAACGAACGACGCCGGAAUAUUUAGUAGAAGUGAACUCAGCGCCUUGGUGCGAACUUUAUACUCCACCGCUUCCCAAACCAUUUCAAUGCAUUGGCCGGCCAGGAGGUGACCGAGAGGAGCAGGCCCGUUCUGCACCGAACAGCUUCCGGCAGGAACUGGAACGGAAACUUGGAUUUCGGUAACAUGUUCAGCGACAGGAUCAUACGGACGGAAUCACCCCAAACGGAGAUCUUGAUGAUCGUGCCAAGGAGCAAAUGGAAGGCGUUUGCCUGAUGAAUUAUUCGGGAUUGAAGGAGGAUGUGUGUCCGCAAGGCAUGGGCGGAAGGAGAGUUGCAAAAAUUGAGCCUGCUUGUGUAAUCGUGGACUUGAAUGUACUACGAGUGUCGUUAUAGAAGCAUCCGCUUGUGAAAACAUGAGAUUCAACUGAGCUGAAAAGUAUUUAGACGAAUAAAUAGAAACUGGAAACAAAAAACAUAUCGCUCAUAGAGAUUUAAUCUUUAGUUUGUUUAGUUUUCUGUGUAAUAUUUGAAAGGCUUAUGAUGAUCCAAAAUAAACUAUUUAGGGACUAUGUAUUUUGCUACCGGAUAUAUUCCAUAAUUGCUUUACAAAAUGUUAAUGCAAUAUAAUUUAAAACAAAAGUUUAAUAGUUUAAUGGUUUAAAUUUCAUCAGGGAUUCUUCUAGAUAGUCAUAUGGUUGUGAUGUUUCCUAGUAUUUUUCAUUUUUCUUUUGGGCUUAUUACAGGGAAUUUCGCUCUGCAUUCCUGCUUUAUGAGUUCGUUUAAAUUAAAAAAAUCUUGACUGAGACGCUAGUAAAAAAAACUUGAGAUACUAAUUAAGCAUGGGGACCUAAGAUGUGAAAAAUAGAUGCCGUCCAUACAAUAAUUCCGGAAUACUCCAAAGAUAACUCCAAUAUUUUGUGGAAAAAUUCCUGACUUAUUAAUAAAUCCAGACUACCAAUGCUUGCUGAACCUGAAGAGAAGCUGGGAGAUUGUCUUUGCCAGAAACGUGUGUAGUAAAAGUUUCCGAACAUCUGAUUGUGGAAGCUGAAAACCACUUAUCUACAUCACGAUAAGCUGGGCAUACUUGUGCAUAUCAGCAAAUGGACUUCGAAAAUAUGUUCAUUAAAAGUGUGCGUAAAUCUUUAAUAAAUUAAAUCAAUUAUUUUUUUUUAUGAGACUUUACCACAAUGCGGCCUCUGCAAAUCAAUAAUUGAACAUAUCCUCAACAAUAACAAAUUUGAAGAUUUAUUCUUCCAAUUUGUUAUUGUUGAGGAUAUGUUUUGAAAAAAUACUUUGCGAAACAGGAGAUCAGAACGUCAAAACCAGUCAUCUGUUAGUCCUAUGGUAUUCCGAGCAUUCUGAAGAUUUGAUAUGUUUUUUUUAUUAGGUCCUAAUCUGCCGGUGGACGCAUAAUUGUCCCAUGUACAAAAACAAACAAUCGAGAAAAUCGCAUCCAAAGUUCAAAAAAUUAAAUUGCAUCAACUAUGAAGUAUAAGAUAGUAAAUGCUGAAUCAUGUUCUAACAUCAACCAAUUUGAAAAGUAAAUUUUGUUUUAGAGCGAUUUUAAAGCUAUAUAUAAUUUCUAAUGGAAUGUGAUGCUUAUGUCAUUUUUUUGUGGGCGACGUCUUAGAUUUUUUCGUUAAAAUUAUUUCUAGGGAUUUUUGUAUGUUCUACAAAGUUGUUCUUUGUGACGAAAUAAUCUUUUUAUUUUUUCUUCUUCUUGGAAUAGCGUUUCAACUGAAACAAAGCCUGCAUCUCAACCAGCAACUAUAUGUAUUGCUGGGAGUCCUCCAAGUAUUCUUGAUCUAGCAAUCUCUGCUGUAGCUUCUCCAUGGAUUGCUUCAGAAAUUCAUCUAGGGAUUUUUCCAGGGGAUUCACCAGAAAUUCCCUAGAUAUUCUUCCAUAUUGUUCAUUUGAAGCAUAUUAAACAUAUAGAGGAAUCCCAGCAAGAAUUUCUAGUGGUAAUAUCAGAAGAAAUCUUUAAGGACAGGCUUGUUAGAAUCCCAAAAUGGCCGCCACAAUGGCCGACUUUGGCACCUACUCACGAUUUUGAGGGCACAAAUCUCUUCGUAAACAAAACCAUCACACCUGAUCUUCUUAUUUUAAGCUUAUUACGAGUGAGCAAGAAUAGAAUAAUGAAAUACACUGUUGUGUGAAGUUUGCUUCUUGAGAUUUGUGCGUUUGAAGUUGUGAUGCACUGUUGAAGCGGGAUUUCAAGACGUUUGUCCUUAAUGAAUCCUUGGAGAAAUUCCUGUAAGAAUCCCAAGAGGAGUUCCUGGAGAAAUCCUUGGAAACAUCUCUGGAUGAUCCACAGGAGGAACGUUCGGAGGAACCUCAGAAGGAAUUUCUGGAGUAAUCCAUGUAGAAAUCCUUUGAGGUGUUACAAGAAGAAUUUCUGGAUAAAACGCAGCAGGCAUUCGUGAAGGGUUCCCGAGGGCAACAUCAUAGGCGAAACUACUGGGGGUGCCAGGCACCCCCUAGAAUUUAAAUGCAUUGCUGUGAGAUAUGGGGCGAUGAAUGAUGAAUGGAUAAACUAAUGAAUAUUUGUUUGUGGUGCACCCCCUGGAAAAACAUUCGUAGUUUCGCCCAUGGGCAACAUCUGAAGGAAUUCUUGGAGAAAUCACUGCAGAAGUUAUUGCGGAUUU